rnacentral:tRNA from 1 species
GACCGCGUAGCUCAGUUGGCAGAGCAUUGUGCUGGUAUUGCAAAGGUCGUGGGUUCGAUUCCCACUGCGGUCA